rnacentral:rRNA from 1 species
GAUCCUGGCUCAGAUUGAACGCUGGCGGCAUGCUUUACACAUGCAAGUCGAACGGUAACAGGCCGCAAGGUGCUGACGAGUGGCGAACGGGUGAGUAAUACAUCGGAACGUACCCAGUAGUGGGGGAUAACGUAGCGAAAGCUACGCUAAUACCGCAUACGCACUGAGGUGGAAANCGGGGAUCGCAAGACCUCGCGCUAUUGGAGCGGCCGAUGGCAGAUUAGCUAGUUGGUGGGGUAAAGGCCCUACCAAGGCGACGAUCUGUAGCUGGUCUGAGAGGACGACCAGCCACACUGGGACUGAGACACGGCCCAGACUCCUACGGGAGGCAGCAGUGGGGAAUUUUGGACAAUGGGGGCAACCCUGAUCCAGCAAUGCCGCGUGUGCGAAGAAGGCCUUCGGGUUGUAAAGCACUUUUGGCAGGAGCGAAACGGCUUGGGUUAAUACCCUGGGCUAAUGACGGUACCUGCAGAAUAAGCACCGGCUAACUACGUG